AUGGCGAGGCGCUCAGGCACCCAAGGAGAUGGCGGCCAUGGCAAGUGGCGUUGGGCUCAGGCAGCACCUGCUGCUGGCCUGCGAGAUGGCGCGAGCCUCCGACCGGCUUCUCCCGUACGGCUGCUCGGACGCGGGAUGGAGGCCAUGGCGACGCCACCGAGCCUCCCGGCGGUUUCGGGCGCGAGCUGGUGGCCACAGAGCUUCCCAACCGGCAGCAAAGGGGCAAGCAGCAGCGGCGGCCGGCAACAUGCGCACGCAGCAGCGGCAAGCAGAGCGCGCACGCAGCAGCAGCUUGCACAGCAUCAUCCUCAGAAGUUGACAAACCAUCCAUCUGCUGCCGACCAUGAUGCCAAAAACAAGGACGCCCGGCAAUUGCGUGUUCAGCAGGUACUUGAAGGAUGCAUCAAAUUAUCAGGAUAG
rnacentral:rRNA from 1 species